rnacentral:rRNA from 1 species
GAUGAACGCUGGCGGCGUGCCUAAUACAUGCAAGUCGAGCGAACGGACGAGAAGCUUGCUUUUCUGAUGUUAGCGGCGGACGGGUGAGUAACACGUGGAUAACCUACCUAUAAGACUGGGAUAACUUCGGGAAACCGGAGCUAAUACCGGAUAAUAUUUUGAACCGCAUGGUUCAAAAGUGAAAGACGGUCUUGCUGUCACUUAUAGAUGGAUCCGCGCUGCAUUAGCUAGUUGGUAAGGUAACGGCUUACCAAGGCAACGAUGCAUAGCCGACCUGAGAGGGUGAUCGGCCACACUGGAACUGAGACACGGUCCAGACUCCUACGGGAGGCAGCAGUAGGGAAUCUUCCGCAAUGGGCGAAAGCCUGACGGAGCAACGCCGCGUGAGUGAUGAAGGUCUUCGGAUCGUAAAACUCUGUUAUUAGGGAAGAACAUAUGUGUAAGUAACUGUGCACAUCUUGACGGUACCUAAUCAGAAAGCCACGGCUAACUACGUGCCAGCAGCCGCGGUAAUACGUAGGUGGCAAGCGUUAUCCGGAAUUAUUGGGCGUAAAGCGCGCGUAGGCGGUUUUUUAAGUCUGAUGUGAAAGCCCACGGCUCAACCGUGGAGGGUCAUUGGAAACUGGAAAACUUGAGUGCAGAAGAGGAAAGUGGAAUUCCAUGUGUAGCGGUGAAAUGCGCAGAGAUAUGGAGGAACACCAGUGGCGAAGGCGACUUUCUGGUCUGUAACUGACGCUGAUGUGCGAAAGUGUGGGGAUCAAACAGGAUUAGAUACCCUGGUAGUCCACGCCGUAAACGAUGAGUGCUAAGUGUUAGGGGGUUUCCGCCCCUUAGUGCUGCAGCUAACGCAUUAAGCACUCCGCCUGGGGAGUACGACCGCAAGGUUGAAACUCAAAGGAAUUGACGGGGACCCGCACAAGCGGUGGAGCAUGUGGUUUAAUUCGAAGCAACGCGAAGAACCUUACCAAAUCUUGACAUCCUUUGACAACUCUAGAGAUAGAGCCUUCCCCUUCGGGGGACAAAGUGACAGGUGGUGCAUGGUUGUCGUCAGCUCGUGUCGUGAGAUGUUGGGUUAAGUCCCGCAACGAGCGCAACCCUUAAGCUUAGUUGCCAUCAUUAAGUUGGGCACUCUAAGUUGACUGCCGGUGACAAACCGGAGGAAGGUGGGGAUGACGUCAAAUCAUCAUGCCCCUUAUGAUUUGGGCUACACACGUGCUACAAUGGACAAUACAAAGGGCAGCGAAACCGCGAGGUCAAGCAAAUCCCAUAAAGUUGUUCUCAGUUCGGAUUGUAGUCUGCAACUCGACUACAUGAAGCUGGAAUCGCUAGUAAUCGUAGAUCAGCAUGCUACGGUGAAUACGUUCCCGGGUCU